CCCUCCAGGCCCUCUCUUCCAGGUCCGAGGCAGCACAGGCUGGCAGGAUCUCACAGAACAUGUCCUCUUUUCUCUCCUCCUUAUCUGGGUCAGUUGUCGUGCUGGUGCGGAGGGAGGCAGCAGCUACAGAUAAAACACACAGAGGCGCCAUGGUCAGUACAGUAUGUACAGAAAGGGAAACAGAAGAUCCAUCAAUCCCCGCUUCUCUUGCUCCCCCAGAGUGCUAAACAAGACCUGCUUAUGGACACUUCUGCUCUGGAGUGCCGGAUCACGGUGCAACUAACAGCAACGGGCCAUGAACGGGAUGCAGGAUUCCAGCAGCAAGUCACACCAGGGCCAAAUACAAAUACUCCUGCUUGGGAGUCCAUUAGCCCUUUUGGCCACAGCGUUGCACUAGGAGCUCAAGUUCGGCUGAUUAUCCACUGUGACCUACAAAUCUAUUCCUGAGUCCCUGCUUCCCAGGAUAGAGGCCCCCCAUCCUUGUCUUUAUCAAGGCGUUCUGAGGUACCAAGUCGAAAGCCUUCGAGCUGGCCAAGUAUUUUCCAUCAGCACUACUCCCUUUAUCAGCCAAGCUUCUAAUGUGCCGGGGCCUCGCCUGCAGCAGAGCCAGCAAUGAGCACAGCUGGCCCGGAGACAAGGGCUCUGAUUGACUGCACCACGUGACUGGUCGAAGGAGUCAACAGGCUGUAUUACUGUCCUUUAAUUCUUUAUUAAUUGAGUCCUGUAUCAGCUGCUGCAUUACUAUGCCUGGGAUUCAUGUCAGGUCUAUCAUUGCCCAAGUCAUCCCAUUUAUCCUUUUUACACAUUGGCACAACAUCAGCUUUCUUUCUGUCUUCUGGGACUUCCCUUAUGUUCCACGAUCUAUGCAACAUUCAUGGUGCAGCAAGCUCCUUGGCCAGCUUUUUUAAAACUCUUGUUUGCAAGUUAUUCUGACUGCUGAUUUAAAAAUGUCUAAUUUUAGUAGCUGCGUCUAAUAUCCUGAUGAGUUAUUAUUGGAAUGGAAAGUGUUUCCAUCAUCAGCAUUGCAUGAUAAUAACUACAUUAUUUGUUUUUCCCAAAUAUAAAACAGAAAUAGUUAUUGAAUAUGUCUACCUUUUCUGCAUUAUUAUUGACAAUUCUACCAUUUCUAUUCUAUCCAGGAAGUUUUUGGAAAG